CUCCAGGCGGUGUUUGAAUCCUGGAGUAGCGGUCCAGUUCAGCCUAUGUCUCCUAGCUGUUCAGACCUGGCCAUCAGAAUUUCAGGUUUGGAUGUGGAAAGGGUUGUCUCGACUUCAAGGCCACAGAAGGGCUCUAGGCGGUAUAGCAGUUUGAAGAAGUCUGUUUUCUAUUUCCAGAUUUUCAGAAGAGCUGGCAAGACCUGUGAAAGCAUGACAGUGGCAGGGCUGGAGGAGCAGUAGAGCUUUCCACAAGCUGAAAGCUGCAUCAGGGGCUGGAUAAGAACAGGAUGGCUUUUACAGAUUACAGGUGUUUGAAUCGUGGUGUAGUGGUCCAGUGCAGCCUACGUCUCCUAGCAGUUCCGACCUGGCCAUCAGAAUUUCAGGUUUGGAUGUGGAAAGGGUUGUCUCGACUUCAAGGCCACAGAAGGGCUCUAGGCGGUAUAGCAAUUUGAAGGAGUCCUCUUUUCUAUUUGCAGAAGAGCUGGCAAGAACUUUGAAAACAACACAUUGGCAGGGCUGGAGGACCAGGAAGUUUUCCACAAGCUGAAAGCUGCGUCAGGGGCUGGAUAAGAGCUGGAUGACUUGUAUGGAUUUCUACAGAUCAGCUGAAUGCGUGCAGAUGCCCAUGUGAGGGGACAUUGGAGUAGUUCUUAUGAAUUUGGU